CGUAGGGUGCAAGCGUUAAUCGGAAUUACUGGGCGUAAAGCGUGCGCAGGCGGUUGUGCAAGACGGAUGUGAAAUCCCCCGGGCUUAACCUCGGGAAUUGCAUUUGUGACUGCACGGCUAGAGUGUGUCAGAGGGGGGGUAGAAUUCCGACGUGUAGCAGUGAAAUGCGUAGAUAUGUGGAGGAAUACCGAUGGCGAAGGCAGCCCCCUGGGAUAACCACUGACGCUCAUGCACGAAAGCGUGGGGAGCAAACAGGAUUAGAUACCCUGGUAGUCCACGCCCUAAACGAUGUCUACUAGUUGUCGGGUCUUAAUUGACUUGGUAACGCAGCUAACGCGUGAAGUAGACCGCCUGGGGAGGUACGGUCGCAAGAUUA
rnacentral:rRNA from 1 species